rnacentral:piRNA from 1 species
UGUGCUAUGAUGCUGCGAUUAGCUCCAG